UAUAAUCAUUUUAUUUCCCGAUAAGCCUUAUCGUUUUACACGUCUCAGUACUAAACACUAGCAACUACAUAACCCCUAAAAUGGUCUCUACAUGAAAUAAUAAGAAACUAUAAUGAAACUAAUGAACAUUAGUACAUAUCUAAUAAAAAUAAUGAAUUUAGGGAAUCUCUUUACAAUAUUGGUAUUGCUAUAAAGGCCACAAUUAAUUGACAAAAUACUUUUUUUUCAAACGUUAGCAGUUUAGAAGAAUAUUCGACAAUUUUAAUAGUAAAAUGGAAGCCAUUUCCGGACGGUGCAGAUUUCAAUCUUCUUGAUGGGGCUGACUUGUUGUUCUGAAUAUUGCAAACAACGAUCGAAGAAAAACAAAACGCAGCCUUACGGCGUCAUGUUGGUAAUACAGCGCGUACUUAAUUUUCCGACUUGUAAUUAUUUUUUGCUUGACGGCCAGUACGUUUUGUUUACUGAUCUUUUCCUACUUGUAGUCGAUGUUCUUUUUUCUUGAUGGCCAGCGUGUUGAGACUUGUGACCAGAUGUUUUUUUUCUAAACGGCCAGUGUGUUUACUGUCCAGCGGAUAGCUGCACGAUCUUGUUGUUAACAGCCAGGACUUCAGCCAUGUACUCCUCGUCGGUGACGACGGUGGCAAGUCGUUUGAGGAUGGAGAGGAGCUCGCCGUCCUUGAGACGGAGCUGCUCGUUGCACUGGUCUA